rnacentral:rRNA from 1 species
ACAGCAGCAGCCACGGGAAUACGGAGGGGGCUGGCGUUGUUCGGAAUUACUGGGCGUAAAGCGCACGUAGGCGGCUUGGUAAGUUAGAGGUGAAAGCCCGGAGCUCAACUCCGGAAUUGCCUUUAAGACUGCCGAGCUAGUAGGUGAGAGAGGUAAGUGGAAUUCCGAGUGUAGAGGUGAAAUUCGUAGAUAUUCGGAAGAACACCAGUGGCGAAGGCGGCUUACUGGCUCAUUCUAGACGCUGAGGUGCGAAAGCGUGGGGAGCAAACAGGAUUAGAUACCCCAGUAGUCCCUGUCUCUUAUAA